rnacentral:rRNA from 1 species
AGUGAACGCUGGCGGUAGGCCUAACACAUGCCAGUCGAACGGCAGCACAGUAAGAGCUUGCUCUUACGGGUGGCGAGUGGCGGACGGGUGAGGAAUACAUCGGAAUCUACUUUUUCGUGGGGGAUAACGUAGGGAAACUUACGCUAAUACCGCAUACGACCUACGGGUGGAAGCAGGGGAUCUUCGGACCUUGCGCGAUUGAAUGAGCCGAUGUCGGAUUAGCUAGUUGGCGGGGUAAAGGCCCACCAAGGCGACGAUCCGUAGCUGGUCUGAGAGGAUGAUCAGCCACACUGGAACUGAGACACGGUCCAGACUUCUACGGGAGGCAGCAGUGGGGAAUAUUGGACAAUGGGCGCAAGCCUGAUCCAGCCAUACCGCGUGGGUGAAGAAGGCCUUCGGGUUGUAAAGCCCUUUUGUUGGGAAAGAAAAGCAGCAGGUUAAUACCCCGCUGUUCUGACGGUACCCAAAGAAUAAGCACCGGCUAACUUCGU